rnacentral:rRNA from 1 species
AGGACGAACGCUGGCGGCGUGCUUAACACAUGCAAGUCGAAUGAGGUGCUUGCACCUAGUGGCGAACGGGUGAGUAACACGUGAGCAACCUGCCCUUGGCUCUGGGAUAGCCUCCGGAAACGGGGAUUAAUACCGGACAUGACCUUGGUCUGCAUGGACUGAGGUGGAAAGUUUUUCGGCCAGGGAUGGGCUCGCGGCCUAUCAGCUUGUUGGGGGGUAACGGCCCACCAAGGCGACGACGGGUA